AACGAACGCUGGCGGCAGGCCUAAAACAUGCAAGUCGAACGGGUGUAGCAAUACAUCAGUGGCGCACGGGUGAGUAACGCGUGGGAACGUGCCCUUCAGUACGGGACAACGUCGGGAAACUGACGCUAAUACCGUAUAAUGACUCCGGUCCAAAGAUUUAUCGCUGAAGGAGCGGCCCGNGUCUGAUUAGCUAGUUGGUGAGGUAAUGGCUCACCAAGGCUACGAUCAGUAGCAGGUCUGAGAGGAUGAUCUGCCACACUGGGACCGAGACACGGCCCAGACUCCUACGGGAGGCAGCAGUUAGGAAUAUUGGACAAUGGGCGAAAGCCUGAUCCAGCCAUGCCGCGUGUGUGAUGAAGGCCCUAGGGUUGUAAAGCACUUUCGUUGGGGAUGAUAAUGACGUACCCAAAGAAGAAGCACCGGCUAACUUCGUGCCAGCAGCCGCGGUAAAGUACAGUGU
rnacentral:rRNA from 1 species